rnacentral:rRNA from 1 species
AUGCGUUUAUUAGAUCGAAACCAAUGCGGUGUUAAAACCGGUUCAAGGUGAUUCAUAAUAACCAAGCAAAUCGUACAAUUUUGACGAUGUGUCAUUCAAGUUUCUGCCCUAUCAGCUGUGAUGGUACUGUAUUGGAUUACCAUGGCUUUGACGGGUAACGGGAAAUUAGGGUUUGAUUCCGGAGAGGGAGCCUGAGAAGCGGCUACCACAUCCAAGGAAGGCAGCAGGCGCGUAAAUUACCCAAUCCCAAUCCGGGGAGGUAGUGACAAGAAAUACUUUUGCGGAGCCAAUUUUGGUUCUGCAGUGGAAUGAGCACAACAUAAAUCCCUUAGCGAGGAUCAAUUGGAGGGCAAGUCUGGUGCCAGCAGCCGCGGUAAUUCCAGCUCCAAUAGCGUAUAUUAAAGUUGUUGCAGUUAAAAAGCUCGUAGUUGGAUUUCUUUUAUGUAAUAUGGGUUUUGUUAUGUAAUUUGUUUUUAUACUUAUUCAUAGCUUCCAUUUAUAUAAAAUUAUUUGUAAUUUUUUGUAAUUGUAAUAUUCACUAUUAUAAUUUAUUUUAUAAUUGUUUGGAUAUUCUUU